GGACUAUCAUGUCGGUCGUGCUUAGGUACGUACUGGCGUAAUUGAUUUCUCCCUUCUGACGAACCAUGAUGUCAUUAACUUGGUGUCAUGGGAAAUCAGGACUGUUACUUUGAAAAAAUUAGAGUGUUUAAAGCAGGCUCACGCUUGAAUACAUUAGCAUGGAAUAAUGAAAUAGGACGUUCGAUCCUAUUUUGUUGGUUUCUAGGAUUGACGUA
rnacentral:rRNA from 1 species